rnacentral:rRNA from 1 species
UACGGGGGGGGCAAGCGUUGUUCGGAAUUACUGGGCGUAAAGGGCUCGUAGGCGGCCAACUAAGUCAGACGUGAAAUCCCUCGGCUUAACCGGGGAACUGCAUCUGAUACUGGAUGGCUUGAGAUUGGGAGAGGGAUGCGGAAUUCCAGGUGUAGCGGUGAAAUGCGUAGAUAUCUGGAGGAACACCGGUGGCGAAGGCGGCAUCCUGGACCAUUACUGACACUGAAAAGCGAAAGCCAGGGGAGCAAACGGG